UCGCAGCAGUACGGAAGCAAGACUUCAUGCAGCUUCUCAUGCUCAGGAAAGCUGUUUUCAGAAGAGCGCAGUAUGGCGACUGCAGAAGAUCAACCAUAUCCUCUAAACCGCAGUAGUAGCUAUGAGUUGCUGCCACCUGACAUGUCUGAGCUGAGGGUUGUUCUGCUGGGGAACAGCUGGUCUGAGAGGAGUUCAGUGGGGAACUUCAUAUUGGGAGAGACUGUGUUCAACAGUGAGGAAGAACCAGACCACUGUCUGAGAGUCAGUGGACAGCUGGAGGGGAAAAGAGUAGUUGUGAUCAACACCCCAGAUCUGCUGCGCGCCAACAUCUAUGAACACAAACUGACAAAACAUCUGAAAGAGUGUGUGAGGUUCUCUGAUCCUGGACCUCAUGUGUUCCUGCUGGUUCUACAGCCUGAAGACUUCACUGAGGAACACAAACAGAGACUCUGCACAGUCCUGGAACGCUUCAGUGAUCAGUCAUUUAAUCAUUCACUGAUGCUCAUAACACCAUCCAGAGAGAAGGGUUCAGGUUUAAUGGAACAAUACAUGGGACAACCCCCAUUACAAGACAUGAUCAGAAAAUGUAGAUACAGAUACUUGAAGCGGGAGAACCUUCAUCAUCCAGAGCUGUUAACACGCUUGGGUCAAACUGGUCAAAAGGAGAACUAUGGAGAGUAUGUGAGCUGUGAUGUGUUCGAGGACAGCACGUCUUCCUUACCGGUUGAUCAUCAAAGUCAAAAACCAAAGGAAACAAGGAUUCAUCUCAAAGAAGCUGAUCAAGCUGCUGGGCUGCGUGGUGUUGAAUCAAUUCAAGGGUUGACCACUUUGACUAAUGCAUCUAAAUUCAGGAUUGUGCUAUUGGGAAAAGGUAAGAACAAAAAAAAAAAUAGAAUCAGUUCCUUAAUCACAGAGGGCAAAGGUCUUUUCCAAAAUUUCACAAACUCUGUGACAACCAAUGGAGAGUGGAAGGGAAAACAGUUGAAAGUAGUGAAAACUAAAGAAUUGUUCCAUCUAUCAGAAGAGUUAGUGAGAACAGAGGUGAAGAGCGUUGUGAGUCUUUGUUUUCCUGGACCCAAUGUCCUGCUGCUGAUGGUGAAGCCUUCUGAUUUCACUGAAGAGAACAGACAAACACUGAAGUUCAUCCUGAGUCUGUUUGGUCCAGAAGCUUUUAAACACUCAAUGGUCAUCAUAACCAACAAUGACAAUAAUACUGAAAUAGUGGAUCAGCUGCUUGAACACUGUGGAGAAAGACUCUACAACAUGGUUGAAAACAACCGUGACUCAUUGAUGGAUAAGAUUGAGAAGAUAGUUCAUGAAAACAAAGAAACGUUUCUCACCUUCACUGAAGACAUCAAAGCCGCUUUAAACCUGGUUCUGUGUGGGAGGAGAGGAUCAGGGAAGACUUCAGCAGCCAAGGCCAUUUUAGGUCAGACAGAGUUUCCUUCAGUCUCCAACUCCUCAGAGUGUGUUAAACAUCAGGGAGAGGUGUGUGGACGCCGGGUUUCCCUGGUGGAGCUGCCUGCUUUGUGUGGAAAAUCUCAGGAGGAAGUGAUGGAGGAAUCAAUCAGGUGUGUCUCCCUCUGUGAUCCUGAGGGCGUCCAUGCCUUCAUCCUGGUCCUACCUGUGGGUCCCCUCACUGAUGAAGACAAGAGAGAGUUAGAGACCAUCCAGAACACAUUUAGCUCUCAAGUCAACGACUUCACCUUGAUUCUGUCCACUGUGGAGUCAGAUCCCACAGCUCCAGCUGUUGUUAACUUUCUAAAGAAGAACAAGGACAUCCAGGAGCUCCGUCAGAGAUGUGGAGGAAGAUAUGUUGUUCUCAACAUCAAGGGCCAGCAGCAGAUCCCAGAGCUGUUGAAUACUGUGGAAGAGAUCAGAGUGGAAGGAUCCAGGUGCUUCACAAUGAAGAUGUUCACCAAGGCUCAGAUGAAGAAAGUGGUAGAACUUAAAGCUGAACUGCAGGACGUUAAAAAGAAAAGUGAGAUGGGAGGUGUUGAUGAAAGUCAGAACAGAGAGUGUCUCAGGAUGGUGCUGAUUGGGAAGACAGGCAGUGGGAAGAGUGCAACUGGAAACACCAUUUUGGGAAGAGAACAUUUUACAUCGACUCCAAGCCCAGAGUCAGUGACCCAGUUUUGCGAAAAAGCAUCAGGAGAGAUUGGUGGAAGACCUGUUGCUGUGGUGGACACCCCCGGCUUGUUUGACACGACACUGUCCAAUGAGGCUGUUCAAGGAGAGCUUGUUAAAUGCAUCAGCAUGAUGUCUCCUGGACCUCAUGUGUUCUUACUGGUGCUGCAGAUCGGCCGAAUUACACAAGAGGAAAAAGACUCAGUGGAACUGAUCAAGAAAUAUUUUGGCAAGAAAUCUGGAGAUUUCAUCAUCAUUAUUUUCACCAGAGGAGAUGAUCUUAAAAACACACCAAUCCAGACCUACAUAGAAAAGUCUAGUGGCUUUUUGAAGAAACUGAUCAUUGACUGUGGAGGGAGAUACCAGGUCUUCAAUAACAACAAUGAAACAGACCGCAUGCAGGUCAAAGAGCUGAUGGAGAAGUCCAACAAAAUGCUGAAGGAAAAUGGCGGCAGCUGUUACACGUCAGAGAUGUUCCAAGAGGCCGAGGCCGCCAUACAGAAGGAAGUGGAGAAGAUCCUGAAGGAGAAGGAAGAAGAGAUGCAGAGACAGAGGGAGGAGCUGCAAAGACAACACGAGGAGGAAAUGGAAGAAGUGAAGAGAAGAAUGGAACAGGAGAGAGCUGAGAUUGAGCAGAAGAGAGCCAAACAGCUUCAAGAGAUGGAGGAAAAAAGGAACAAGGAACAAGAGGAGAGAAGGAUGGAAGAGGAACUGAGAAUAAAAGAGGACAUGGAGAAGAAAAAGCAGGAUGAAAUUACAAAAAGGGAAUGGGAGGAGAAACUUGAAGGAGAGUUGGAGCAGAGUAAAGAAAAGAUGAGAAAGCACAAAGAAGACUGGGAGAAGGAGAGAGGAGAAUUGUGGGAAAAACAACGUCAAGAAAAUGAAAAGAGACGACGAGACGAGCAAACAAGACUUCAGAGGUCGCAAGAAGAAUACAAUCAGGAAAUAAAACAACUUGAACUGAAAAGAAGACAAGAAAUUGAGCAGGAGAGAGCCCAACAACUUAAAGAAAUGGAAGAAAAAAUCAGCAAGGAACGAGAGGAGAGAGGGAGGGAAGAGGAACUGAGGAAAAAAGAGGACAUGGAGAAGAAAAGGCAGGAAGAACUGCAACGAAAGGAAUGGGAGAAGAAACUUGAAGGAGAGUUGGAGCAGAGUAAAGAAGAGAUGAGAAAGCACAAAGAAGACUGGGAGAAGGAGAGAGAAGAAUGGUGGGGAAAACAACGCCAAGAAAAUGAAAAGAGACAACUUGAGGAGCAAACAAGAAUGAAAAAGUCGCAAGAAGAAUACGAGCAAGAAAAACAAAAUAAUGAACAAAAGAUUAAGAAGGAAAUUGAGAAGGAAAGAGCCAAACAACAUGAAGAAUUUCACUAUAAAAUAAACAAGGAAGAAGAGGAGAGAAGAAGAGAAGAGGAACAGAGGAAAAAAGAGGACAUGGAGAAGAAAAGGCAGGAGGAAAUGAAACAAAAGGAAUUGGAGCAAAAACUUGAAGGAGAGUUAGAGGACAAAAAAGAAGAGAUGAGAAAGCAAAAAGAAGACUGGGAGAAGGAGAGAGAAGAAUGGUGGGGAAAACAACGUCAAGAAAAUGAAAAGAGACGACGAGACGAGCAAACAAGACUUCAGAGGUUGCAAGAAGAAUACGAUCAGGAAAUAGAGAAACAUGAACAGAAAAGAAAAGAAGAAGAUCUAAAGAGAAGUGAACAGCAGGAGAAGGAGAGACAGGAAUUACAGGGGAAAUAUAAGAAAGAACUGGAGGAGAUGAAGAAUACAUUUGAAGAGGAGGCCAGAAAACAAGCUGAAGAAUUCAACGAGUUCAAACAGAAAUACACCAAGGACUUUACAGCCUUGCUGGAGAAGCACAUGGAGGAAAUCGAGGACCUGAAGAAAAAGCAUAAAAGACAAAUGGAAGAGACAGGAGAGAGCCAUGGCAAAGAGUACGAUCUGCAACAAGAUCUUUCCAGACACAAAGAAAAAAGUCUAAAAGAACAAAUACAGGACAUGGAGAGAAAGCAAGAACAAGAAAUAAAUGCACUAAAACAAAAACACAAGUGUAUCAUCCUCUGACCUUCCCACUGACUCAUGAUCAUCAUGAUGUUACUCGAUGGAACAUCAUGUCAACUCAUCAAGGUCCAAUAGGGACACUAAGAACGAACUACAACAGCAACUGAACAUUUUUCUUCGCCGAAGAGGAUUUCUGAUCCGGUGACGACUUCCUGUGGACACAGCUACUGCAUGAAGUGUAUUAAAGGCUUCUGGGAUGGAGAGGAUGAGAAGAAGAUCUACAGCUGCCCUCAGUGUAGGCAGAGCUUCACACCGAGGCCUGUCCUGCUGAAAAACAACAUGUUAGCAGCUUUAGUGGAGGAGCUGAAGAAGACUGGACUCCAAGCUGCCCCUGCUGAUCACUGCUAUGUUGGAGCUGAAGAAGACUGGACUCCAAGCUGCUCCUGCUGAUCUCUGCUAUGCUGGAGCUGUGGCCUGUGAUAUCUGCACUAAGAGAAAACUGAGAGCCUGUAAGUCCUGCCUUGUGUGUUUGGCCUCUUAUUGUGACAAACACCUGCAGUCUCAUUAUUAUAUUACGUAGCUUCAUUAAAAAAACACAAGCUGGUGGAGCCCUCCACGAAGCUCCAGGAGAAAAUCUGCUCUCGUCAUGACGAGGUGAUGAAGCUGUUCUGCCGCACUGAUCAGCAGUGUAUCUGUUAUCUCUGCUCUGUGGACGAACACAAAGGCCACGACACGGUGUCAGCUGCAGCAGAGAGGACUGAGAGGGAGUCGACUAAACAUCCAGCAGAGAAUCCAGGACAGAGAGAAGGAGGUGAAGCUGCUUCAGCAGGAGGUGGAGGCCUUCAAUGGCUCUGCUGAUAAAGCAGUGGAGGACAGUGAGAAGACGUUCACUGAGCUGAUCCGUCUCAUGGAGAAGAGAAGCUCUGAUGUGAAGCAGCAGCUCAGAUCCCAGCAGAAGAGAGAAGUGAGUCGAGUCAGAGAGCUUCAGGAGAAGCUGGAGCAGGAGAUCAGGGAGCUGAAGAGGAGAGACACUGAGCUGAAGCUGCUGUCUCACACAGAGGAUCACAACCAGUUUCUGCACAGCUACCCCUCACUGCCAGCCCUCAGUGAAGCUACACACUCCUCCAGCAUCAACAUCCGUCCUCUGAGCUACUUUGAGGACGUGACGGCGGCCCUGUCAGCAGUCAGAGACAAACUACAGGACGUCCUGAGAGAGGAAUGGGCAAACGUCUCACCGACUGAAGUGGAUGUUUUACUGUCAGCAGCAGAGCCCACCACCAGAGCUGGGUUCUUAACAUAUUCACAGGAGAUCACUCUGGAUCCAAACACAGCACACACACUGCUGGUAUUAUCUGAGGGCAGCAGAAAAGCAACACUCAUGGAACAACAACAGUCUUAUAGCCACCCAGACAGAUUAACUGAUUAUUAUCCUCAGGUCCUGAGUAGAGAGGGUCUGACUGGACUUUGUUACUGGGAGGUGGAGUGGAGAGAGAGAGGAGUUGAUGUUGCAGUCGCAUACAAGAAUAUCAGCAGAGCAAGGGGGGAAAGUGGAUGUGGACUCAAUGACAAAUCUUGGUCCUUAGAUUGCGAUCAAAACAGUUAUUCAUUUAGUUACUACAAUAUCGACACUCUUGUCUCAGGUCCUCAAUAGGUGUGUACCUGGAUCACAGAGCAGGUAUUCUGUCCUUCUACAGCAUCUCUGAAACGGUACCAUGACACUCUUCCACAGAGUCCAGACCACAUUCACUCAGCCGCUAUGCUGGAGUUCAGCUUUAUUAUCCUUGUGGAGACACAGCUGAGUUGUGUAAACUCAACUGAAAUAGCCUGAAGUCAUUUUAGGAACUCUUCUACUUCUUAAACUCACUGUGUGUCCAUCAUUGUUGCUGAGAGCUGAUUGUUCAUGUCUUCCCUGCACAGAGAUCAGCUGUCAAUCAAACAUUAUGGGGUGUGCUUUAACAUCUUCUCAUGAGUUGUUCUGUAGAUGUUGGAGUUUCUUUAGGCGGCGCUCCGUCCUGUGUCUGUUUAGCCUGUCACUGCUCAGGAGGAUUUCUGUUAACCUCAACUGAUAUUUAUCUGCAUGAAAAUGUAAAGCACCAGAGCUUCUUUCAUUGAAGAUAUUGUAUUCAAACGUUAUUUUAUUUUUGACUAAGUCUCAAAGUGUUGAAUGCAUAAAUGAAAGUUUGAAGAAGGAAAUAACACACAUUAAAAGAAAAGUCAUACAAAAGAAAAGCUAACGGGUUGAGUUUGCAAUAAAUUGUGUUUCAAUUUUCAAGAUGUGAGAUGAGUGCCACAUUUACAUGUCUGAAAAAAUAAACGUUGGGGUUUUUCUUGUUAAUAAAAGAGCUAAGAUGACAAAA